CACGAACCGUACGAACGUUAUUCGGAAUUACUGGGCUUAAAGGGUUUGUAGGCGGCUUUGUAAGUCAAGUGUGAAAGCCCUCGGCUCAACCGAGGAACAGCGCUUGAUACUGCAAGGCUUGAGGGAGACAGGGGUAAGCGGAACUGAUGGUGGAGCGGUGAAAUGCGUUGAUAUCAUCAGGAACACCGGUGGCGAAAGCGGCUUACUGGGUCUCUUCUGACGCUGAGGAACGAAAGCUAGGGUAGCGAACGGG
rnacentral:rRNA from 1 species